UACGGAGGGUGCAAGCGUUAUCCGGAUUUACUGGGUUUAAAGGGUGUGUAGGCGGGCUUUUAAGUCAGUGGUGAAAUCUCCGGGCUCAACCUGGAAACUGCCAUUGAUACUAUUAGUCUUGAAUAUUGUUGAGGUAGGCGGAAUAAGUCAUGUAGCGGUGAAAUGCAUAGAUAUGACUUAGAACACCAAUUGCGAAGGCAGCUUGCUAAACAAUGAUUGACGCUGAGGCACGAAAGCGUGGGGAAUCAAACAGGAGU
rnacentral:rRNA from 1 species